ensembl:lncRNA
GCCACGAGCUGCAGGUGCCUCUCGGGCGGGCGCUCCUUUGGGCAGGCAUCAAAGAGUACCAAAAAAGGAUAUUGAUUCAUUUUACCAUUUUAAAAGUUAUGUAUUGUACAUCACAUUUUUUGUCACUAGGCUUAAACAUCCACAGUUUGAAAACAAAGAAACUCAGAGCAGUAGUGAUCUGGCAUAGCACAAGAGUUCAUGCUGCUUUUCCCAGUAUUCUCAUUCUUCAACCAUGCAUUGAUUCACCAGCUUCCAGAGUGAUGAGAGCAGGGAUUUGAGUACUGUUCGACUAGUGACAGCUGGCACCGUCACAAGUGGCGCCCAAACAGGGACCUGAGCAUGGAGGACAAGGUGAAGGACGCCGCUGGAUUGUGAGCUCGGAUAAUUGAGCUCAAUUUUUUUUUCUCUUUUCCUUUUCACCUUUUGAAAAAAGUUUUUUUUAUAAAAGAUAUUCACCUAUUGUUAAAUUGGCUUACAGAUAAAUGUUAUUAAAUUAAAGGUAUGCCUUCUUUCCCAGGUUGCUAAUUGAUCAAAGUGCCACUGAGAUUUAUUUUAUAAAAGUAAUGUGUAUUGUCACCUACAUGCAAUAAUCAAAUUGCAAUAAGCAGUUGUAAAAUAAGAAGAUAUAUAUAUAUAUAUUCUUAUUCUUUGUUUGUCAAAAUAAAUAGAGACUGUGGGUACUCCCUUUGGUGAAUAAAAAAGUGGCCACCCAGAAAAUAAUUAUUCUGGUCUUAAUUCACUAAAGGCACCCCCUAGUAAUUUUUAUAAUCUUAUGGGAGACACACCACAACAAAUAUUGUCUCAAAAUGUUGUUAUAAAUUGAUUACAUUGGUUAUUGUUGAAGUUUAAAUUCUAAAUAUGUUAUAAAUUGAUUACAUGGGUUAUCAUUGAUGUUUAAGCACUAAAUAUGUUAUUGUAAAAUGUUUACAUUGGUUAAGUUCUAAAUAUGUUAUUGUAAUAUGUCCACAUUGGUCAUCUUCAAAAGCUUAAUUUAUGUUAUUGUAAUAUGUCCACAUUGGUCAUCUUCAAAAGCUUAGUUUCUGUGUCAUAAAAAAGAGAGUGUUAUCAGAAAGAUGGUUUUGGUACCAAACUACAGUGAAAAACAUAAGGUUUUAUGUAACUGUGAUAUUUAUUACUGCUCCUUUUCUGGUGUUCAAUAUGUAUUCAUGCCCUCUAAUUAUGUGGGUCUUCCAACAUAUUGUUUAUGGGAAUAACCUUUUGAUUGGGGUAUUUGCCCUUCUCUUAUGCUCCAGCCACCUAUAAAAAUAGACACACUUGUAUGCUGAUACAUAAAACUGGUAUACCCUAUAAUCCCCAGGGACAGGGGAUUGUUGAAUGAGCUCAUAAUACCCUUAAACAUCAACUUCAAAAAAUAAAAAAGGGGAGUUAUACCCCUUGUCUCCUCAGAUACCCUUUUCAUUUUGAAUUUUCCAAUGUAUGAAUAAGACACCCACCAAUAACAGGAUCAUACCAUGGGCCAGAUGUAGAGUGGACCGGCCGGCCAUCUAUAACUUCACCGAUCAACAAGAAGUGCUACAGGAUUGAGUGCCCAAUUGGACAAUUGUCAAGGUGGGGCGAAUACACAACAGCAGUUGACUGUGGGACUUUGGCGAGUGCCUUCUGGCCCUUUUCAGCCCAUGAUAUGGAAACUUAUGGUUGCUAUGGGAGGAAUAAAAAGGAUUGGUGUGGGACCAGAUUCCGGGUUGGAGGGAAACAUUACGGCUUGUGUGCCCCGACCCUAUUUACUAUUAUUGGAAGGUUUUAAGAUUGAAUAUGAAAAUGGAACUCGUCGAUUUAAUGUAAAAUGUGAUAAUUGUACAUUGUCAAAUUGUGUAAAAUUUGGGUAUCAAAAUGUUUUAAUAAUUCAUCAGCCCUCUUUUGUAAUGUUGCCGGUUAACCUUUCAGAACCAUGGUAUGCAGAAAAAGGACUUCAAAUAUUGGAGAGUCUAAAUGGUUUGUUAAAAAGAGAAAAAAGGGUGG